rnacentral:rRNA from 1 species
GGGUUGUGAGGUUAAGCGACUAAGCGUACACGGUGGAUGCCCUGGCAGUCAGAGGCGAUGAAGGACGUGCUAAUCUGCGAUAAGCGUCGGUAAGGUGAUAUGAACCGUUAUAACCGGCGAUUUCCGAAUGGGGAAACCCAGUGUGAUUCGUCACACUAUCAUUAACUGAAUCCAUAGGUUAAUGAGGCGAACCGGGGGAACUGAAACAUCUAAGUACCCCGAGGAAAAGAAAUCAACCGAGAUUCCCCCAGUAGCGGCGAGCGAACGGGGAGCAGCCCAGAGCCUGAAUCAGUGUGUGUGUUAGUGGAAGCGUCUGGAAAGGCGUGCGAUACAGGGUGACAGCCCCGUACACAAAAAUGCACAUACUGUGAGCUCGAUGAGUAGGGCGGGACACGUGGUAUCCUGUCUGAAUAUGGGGGGACCAUCCUCCAAGGCUAAAUACUCCUGACUGACCGAUAGUGAACCAGUACCGUGAGGGAAAGGCGAAAAGAACCCCGGCGAGGGGAGUGAAAAAGAACCUGAAACCGUGUACGUACAAGCAGUGGGAGCACGCUUAGGCGUGUGACUGCGUACCUUUUGUAUAAUGGGUCAGCGACUUAUAUUCUGUAGCAAGGUUAACCGAAUAGGGGAGCCGAAGGGAAACCGAGUCUUAACUGGGCGUUAAGUUGCAGGGUAUAGACCCGAAACCCGGUGAUCUAGCCAUGGGCAGGUUGAAGGUUGGGUAACACUAACUGGAGGACCGAACCGACUAAUGUUGAAAAAUUAGCGGAUGACUUGUGGCUGGGGGUGAAAGGCCAAUCAAACCGGGAGAUAGCUGGUUCUCCCCGAAAGCUAUUUAGGUAGCGCCUCGUGAAUUCAUCUCCGGGGGUAGAGCACUGUUUCGGCAAGGGGGUCAUCCCGACUUACCAACCCGAUGCAAACUGCGAAUACCGGAGAAUGUUAUCACGGGAG